rnacentral:rRNA from 1 species
ACUCCUACGGGGGCAGCAGUGGGGAAUAUUGGACAAUGGGGGCAACCCUGAUCCAGCAAUGCCGCGUGAGUGAUGAAGGCCUUCGGGUUGUAAAGCUCUUUUGCCAGGGACGAUGAUGACGGUACCGGAAGAAGAAGCACCGGCUAACUCUGUGCCAGCAGCCGCGGUAAUACAGAGGGUGCAAGCGUUGUUCGGAAUUAUUGGGCGUAAAGGGCGCGUAGGCGGUGCGGUAAGUCUGUAGUGAAAUCUCUGGGCUCAACCCAGAGCCUGCAUCCAAAACUGGCGGGCUAGAGUUCUGGAGGGGGUAGCGGAAUUCCUGGUGUAGCGGUGAAAUGCGUAGAUAUCAGGAGGAACACCGGUGGCGAAGGCGGCUACCUGGACAGAAACUGACGCUGAGGCGCGAAAGCUAGGGGAGCAAACAGGAUUAGAUACCCUGGUAGUCCUAGCCCUAAACUAUGGAUGCUUGGUGUGGCGGGUACCCAAUCCCGCCGUGCCGGAGCUAACGCGUUAAGCAUCCCGCCUGGGGAGUACGGUCGCAAGGCUGAAACUUAAAGGAAUUGACG